UUCAAGAGGCAAGAAGGUGGGCAAGACUUGACACAACUCACACAACCAAACACCUCUCCUAAAAAGCUCUUCAGACAAGAUCUCUACAGGUGGGCGUUCCAUCCUCACAGCGGGCAGACCUUGCAUCAUUAGGUCCUGUGGAUAUAAGGAGCUGCAUGACAACCUCUCUUCACUGGAUCCCGUCCAGUUUCUUUGCUCCAAGCGUCCACCUGCAAACCUACAACAUCAAGACCUCCUCCAGAACCUACCUACUCGUCCCACGGUUGUUCUCUGUACUGUCAGUGUCUUCCAGAUUUCCACUUGCCUGCUCACUCUCAGGCACUCACUGUAUCCCCAACAAGAUGUCAACCUGACUGAGCACCUGUUGCCUUUUCACCACCAACUCCACUUCUGAAUAACAAAGAUGACCAAACGUCCUGCACGGGUCACGACACCAACAACAGGGUCUUUACACUUUCGGGCAGUGUGGGGAUGAGGUGUCCAAACACAACAUCCAGGAGAAGUAAAUCAUCUUU